AGGACGAACGCUGGCGGCGUGCCUAACACAUGCAAGUGGAGCGACGAACCGGGCUUCGGCCCGGGGCAAAGCCGCGAACGGGUGAGUAACACGUGGGUAACCUGCCCUGAUGAUCGGGACAACCCGAGGAAACUCGGGCUAAUACCGAAUGUGCCCUACGGCCGUAAGGCUGCUGGGGAAAGGAAGCUUCGGCCUCCGCAUCGGGAUGGGCCCGCGGCCCAUUAGCUUGUUGGUGAGGUAAAGGCUCACCAAGGCAACGAUGGGUAGCUGGUCUGAGAGGACGAUCAGCCACACUGGGACUGAGACACGGCCCAGACUCCUACGGGAGGCAGCAGUGGGGAAUCUUGCGCAAUGCGCGAAAGCGUGACGCAGCAACGCCGCGUGGGGAGGACGGCCCUCGGGUUGUAAACCCCUUUCAGUUGGGACGAAGCUCCGUCGGUGAAUAGCCGGCUGGAGUGACGGUACCUUCAGAAGAAGCCCCGGCUAACUACGUGCCAGCAGCCGCGGU
rnacentral:rRNA from 1 species